GGGUGUGAGGGCGAUCUGGCUGCAACAUUUGUCACCCCAUUGAUCGCCAGGGUUGAUUUGGCUGAUCUGGCUGGCUAGGCGGGUGUUCCCUUCCUCCCUCACCGCUCCGUGUGCGUCCCUCCCGAAGCUGCGCACUCGGUCGAAGAGGACGACCUUCCCCGAUAGAGGAGAGGACCAUUCUUCGGUCAAGAGUAUACGAGUAGCUGCGCUCCCCUGCUAGAACCUCCAAACAAGCUCUCUAAAUUGCAGUCUGGGUCUGAGACCCACACUUAGCUUCUGCAGCU
rnacentral:sRNA from 1 species